rnacentral:rRNA from 1 species
GACGAACGCUGGCGGCGUGCUUAACACAUGCAAGUCGAACGGAAAGGCCCUGCUUUUGUGGGGUGCUCGAGUGGCGAACGGGUGAGUAACACGUGAGUAACCUGCCCUUGACUUUGGGAUAACUUCAGGAAACUGGGGCUAAUACCGGAUAGGAGCUCCUGCUGCAUGGUGGGGGUUGGAAAGUUUCGGCGGUUGGGGAUGGAAUCGCGGCUUAUCAGCUUGUUGGUGGGGUAGUGGCUUACCAAGGCUUUGACGGGUAGCCGGCCUGAGAGGGUGACCGGCCAAAUUGGGAUUGAGAUACGGCCCAGACUCCUACGGGAGGCAGCAGUGGGGAAUAUUGCACAAGGGGCGGAAGCCUGAUGCAGCAACGCCGCGUGCGGGAUGACGGCCUUCGGGUUGUAAACCGCUUUCGCCUGUGACGAAGCGUGAGUGACGGUAAUGGGUAAAGAAGCACCGGCUAACUACGUG